ensembl:lncRNA
GUGUUCUCCAACUAGGAACUAUGGCGUCCAGAGGUGCUGCGAGUCGUUGUAUUCCUACUGCUCCACAGGAUCCUGCUCUUGAAGGGCAACAACUGCAAUACCACCUGGAAACUCCAGUUUGACGUCCAGCCCAGCCUCCUCUGAUGUUCCUGAUGUCAUUCUGGACUUCUUUAAUUGGUGCUGCAUGCAGGAUCUUUAGUUGCAGCAUAUGGGAUCUUUCAUUGGGGAUAAUUGAGCACAAUUUGCCUUCCCCUUUGAGGAUCAACAGUACACUUUUCCCAGUUGCCUGUAGGGUACAUGAAUACCUCUGGGAUUUCACAAGGAAUUUGCCGUCUGGAUCUAGACUCCUGCUCUGCACCAGGCACCUCCCACAGAAACUCAGCUCUGGCAUUGUACUGAUGUCAUCCUUGUCCCGGGACCUGGCUAUGACUCUGUGUCACACACUGUCACCACU